AGCUGUCAUAAAGUUACUAAAAGCAAAAUGUAAACAUGAAAUUUAUUUUUUAAGAUACAUCCAUCUGUGUUGGGAUAAUAAUUAAAAUUUUCACGUGCUAGGGACUUUUUUAGUACCCGGACUGGCCACCAGGCGGCGCCAUUUUACUUUUAAAAAAAGUGGGGGGUACCCUCCUAAAAUGGCCUUAAUUUAAUGAAUUGGUUCAUUAAAUGAAAAGGCAUAAUGAAUGAUUCUAACGCGGCUUCAUCAACUGCAGUAUCUAAAGAGCAAAGUUUUAAUACUAAUUUGAAUGCUUUAACACAGAUUUCCUGUUCACAAGAAAAUGUCAAUCCACAACUACCUAACCUUAUUUUACCAGUGAAAAACAUAUUUUAAUGUUUGUGUACCAAGUGUUUCUCGACAUUAGAUUCUAAUUCUAUCAAUUAUGUGCCAGAUCGCCAGGAUUUGAAGACAUUUUUGAAUCAAAGCUACAAAGGUCAAUUGAUUCUUAAUUAUUACAAGCUUCAUAAUAAUCUCACUGAUACUUUGAGCAAUUAUUUAGCGGAAAUCACUUUUGGCCGGGAGAUUAAUAUUAUUCUUAAACAAGGAAAAGUCACCUCAGAUAAUCAUUUGAAAAAAUUAGAAGUUCCACCGUCUAUACUUAAAAAUCUCGCCACAAAAAUAAGUGAAUUAUUUGAUGACAAAUCAGGCAUUUACUACAGUCCUGGGUUUACAGAUGGCACAAAUAGAAUUAACCCAACUGGUAAAUUACAAAGCUAGUUAAACUAUGCUCGAAGACAAUUAAUAGACUCAGUGAAUAAUUACUGAAAGAGUGGAAAAGCGGGGAUCAGGUUUAGGUCUGGAUAUCUCAAUUAAAACGCGUAAAUUAUU
rnacentral:lncRNA from 1 species